GUGAGGACCAGGGUUGAGAAACACUGGUCUACACCAAGCAAAAAUCUGAUAGCCCCUAUAGGCUGUUUAUGAUCUGCAGGAUCACUCAAGAAUGACAGAUAGGAGAACUCUGCAGAGUUCCUUAUCACACACCUGAAGAUAACAGGACAGCAGUACAAAGCUAUGAUCCUGACAAGCAAAGAAGUUUCAAUCCCAUCGGAAGAAUCCCACCUUGUACAGGGACAAAGACUCAAAGAUGGAGGGAUUACAGAAAGUACAGAGAGCCCAUUUACAUGGGAAUCUCGACUCAGUGCAUAAUUUCUCCAAGAGUUAUGGACUUGGAACAAAACAAAUACUGAUGUUUAAUUAAGAAAAUAGGCACAAAAACUCAAACCAUGGUGCCAACAAUAUAUCCUUGAAAUACCUUGAGCUAUAGCAGUAAUUUAAAGAUGCUUUAUUUCAGGCGCUGUGAAUCCAGGUAGUUUCUUUGAUUUUUUUUUAAAGAUUGUUGAACAUGCUUUAAAAGUUUUAUGUCCAAGCACAGAAAAUUGUACAUACUGUUGAGAUUCAUUACAAACACUAUUCUGUAGUCAUCUUCAUAUUCUUUGGUUAGUCAGAGGAAAUGACAUCAAUUAUUUGAUAUAUAUAGUCUUACUGAAAUUUGUGAGAGCUUUGUUUUUUAACGAUGAAGUAUGACUAGGGUCAUUCAGAUUUCACCAUCGUUUUCACAAGUUUUUAAUGAAUUUUCUCGCUCAAAUGUGUUUUGUUUGAACUUUGCUUAAAAAUGCAGCAUCCAAACAAAUAAAGUAGUAAAAUCAAUCAAGAGCUGUUGACUGUU